rnacentral:lncRNA from 7 species
AUAAUCAAGAGCUCUUCAAUCUAGGAGGAGUUCACGUCCUCCUAGCCUAGAUAGAGAACAGUUUAUGGAGGAUGAGGAAAGAUAAUCCUGUUAAUUGUCUCUUAAUAAUUCUUAGUGUUUCAUCUCUAUCUGAGAUAUUUGACUAAGCCCCUAGGGCUCUGAGUUUCAUGAGGCUACAGGUUCUGUCAGGAAGGAUGCACAGUCCCUGCUCCAUGGGAGACCUCCAUGGGAGAGCUCAUGAUUUGACUCCUUGCUUUGUUUCUUCUGCUUUGGGCUGCCUGCAUGUGCAUCAGGAGCUGCAAUAAUCACAGACACAGAAUGGAGUACAGAAGGGGAAUGAACACCAGCUCUCCUCUUUUUUUCCCCUCUUGCUCAUACAUCAGUUACUCCCUUUUUACCUAGGAAACAACAAGGAUGUAACAUCUACUUCCCCAGAAUGCCCCAAGCCAGACCUCUAGACAUGAUUUCAGCACGUACUUCCAACAGAGACAGGUCGGGCUGGAGGUAUGUGCAUCCGAUGUUCCAGGCUGAUCUACAUACAGUGCAACACACCAGUGUCUCCCCCAUUCAGUGUGUUCAGCUGUGACCGAGUGCCUCAUUGCUCCCCUGCCUAUAAAGGCGAAGUGCAUUGGCAGAGGCCACUCACGCAUGUCCAUGGUGAGGCCCCCUCAGGUCUCCAGCCAGCGUGUGCGAAGCUCACUGGGCCUUUUCAGCUCAGUGCUUGUGAGACCAAAGCAACCAAGGCCUCCUUGAAGAUGUGUUGCCCACCUUUGCUCUUCUCCUUGUUCUUGCCAGCUAUUUGUUGAACUGGACUAUGAAACCUGGGAGACUGGGAGCAGAGCCUGCAGGGCUUGGAGCACCGGGACUGGGGGACAGCCUGCUGAGAAGCACCACCUUUGGGCGACACUUGACCACCCUCUGCAUGAAGGAAAUCUUCCUAACAUCCAAUCUAAACCUCUGCUGGUGCAGCAUGAGGCUGUUGCCUGCCAUCCUAUCACUUAUCACCUGAGAAAAGAGACCAACAACCUCCUUGCUGCAGCCUCCUGCUGGGUGGUUGUACAGAGUGAUGAGGUCUCCCCUCACCUCUUUUCCUCUGUACCGAGCAGCCUUAGUUCCCUCAGCCACUCCUCCUAAGUCUUACUAAAUGAAACAAAGGCCUGUGCAG